AAUAAAUAUUUACUAAGAUUUUAAGGAGUGAAGGAUUUUGAUGGAUUUGAAGGUGGGUAAUAUAAAUACCAAAUGCUAUCAACAAUCCAGCCCUCCCCCCUCUGAUUUCUUUCACGCCAGACAACAGAAGAGGAAGAGCCUCGCAUACUGAAGAUAGAGAAGGAGGGUGAAAGGGCAUCUACAUCAUCCUGAAUCCACACAUGCGAUUUAUGUAAUGUCUCAAACAAGCAUGGAAGUGGAAGGUGGGGAAGAAAUGGAAGUGGAUGAAGUGGACGAAGAAAUGGAAGUGGAGCAAAUGGUGGAAGAACAAAUUGAAGAAGAAGAAGAAGAAACUAAUGAAGAAGAAAUUGAGGAAGAACUUUAUGAAACCAUUAAAUAUUUAUUGAUGGCAAUUCAAGCUGUAGUCCACGUGCUAAAAGAGUUUAUAAUUACAUUUGGACAACCUAUUGAACGUCCUUUAAAUCGAAGAUCAAUUACUAUGGAAUGAUACAAUUAUAUACAUAAAGUAUUGAAAGAGACGGCCCAAAGGAUUUCCGGCAAAGGUAUAGAAUGUAUCGUGAUGUGUUUGUGAAGUUAUGCAUUAUUAUUAGAGAAAAAACACUCUUACGAGAUACAAGAUUCAUUUGCAUAGAAGAAAUGCUUGCAACAUUUUUGUGUAUUGUUGGACACAAUAGUAGAUAUUGUCUACUACGUGAUACGUUUGGCCGAUCACAUUGGACUGUCAGUAGAAAUUUUAACAAAGUCUUGAAGGCCUUGUACACAAUAGCACCGAAGAUGAUGGCCAAACAUGGAUUAGCAGUGCCAUGUAAAAUAAGGGAAAGUACGAGACUUUACCCUUGAAGGAUUAUAUUGGAGCUAUUGAUGGCAUACAUAUCCCAGUAUCAAUGUCCGGAUGUGAUGUAAGCAGUUAUUGUAAUCGUAAGCGUGUCAUAUCACAAAAUGUAUUAACUGCUUGUAACUUUGAUUUGGAAUUCAUGUACGUCCUUAGUGGAUGGGAAGGAUUGACUCAUGAUUCAAGAGUACUAAAUGAUGAUUUGACAAGAAGGAAUGGACUUAAAGUGCCACAAGGUUUUGUGGCUGCGUUCGAGAAAGCAAAAAAGAAAGAAGAAAAUAUUACUUGUAAUGAUGAAUUUUUUAUUAAUAUAAGGUUUUGUGGUAGUGUUUGAAACUUGGAAUUUGGAAUUUCAUCUGAUUGCUUAGCUACUGCGAUUACAUUAUUAUUCUGUGUAUUUGAGUUCA